rnacentral:rRNA from 1 species
AUCGAACGCUGGCGGCAGGCCUAACACAUGCAAGUCGAACGAGUGGCGGACGGGUGAGUACUUUCUGGGAAACUGCCCAAUGGAGGGGGAUAACUACUGGAAACGUUAGCUAAUACCGCAUACCCUCGGAUGUGCCCUGAUGGGAUUAGCUAGUAGGUGGGGUAAUGGCUCACCUAGGCGACGAUUCCUAGCUGGUCUGCGAGGCUGACCAGCCACACUGGAACUGAGACACGGUCCAGACUCCUACGGGAGGCAGCAGUGGGGAAUAUUGCACAAUGGGCGAAAGUCUGAUGCAGCCAUGCCGCGUGUAUGAAGAAGGCCUUCGGGUUGUAAAGUACUUUCAGCGGGGAGGCGUUACCCGAAGAAGAAGCACCGGCUAACUCCGUGCCAGCCGCCGCGGUAAUUC